rnacentral:rRNA from 1 species
UACAGAGGGUGCAAGCGUUGCUCGGAAUCAUUGGGCGUAAAGGGCAGGUAGGUGGUCUGAUUUGUCUGGAGGUGAAAUCCUUGAGCUUAACUCAAGAAGUGCCCCGGAAACGGUCAGACUUAUGAGUCUUGGAGAGGGUGGCGGAAUUCCUGGUGUAGCGGUGAAAUGCGCAGAUAUCAGGAGGAACACCGGUGGCGAAGGCGGUUCUCUGGGCAUGAUCUGACGCUGAGGAGCGAAAGUGUGGGGAGCGAACAGG